GAUGAACGCUAGCGGCAGGCUUAAUACAUGCAAGUCGAGGGGCAGCACAGGUAGCAAUACUGGGUGGCGACCGGCAAACGGGUGGGGAACACGUACACAACUUACCUUCUGGUGGGGGAUAGCCUUUGGAAACGGAGAUUAAUACCCCAUAUUAUAUAUGAGCUGCAUGGUUUGUAUAUUAAAGAUCUAUUGCCGGAAGAUGGGUGUGCGUAUGAUUAGGUAGUUGGCGGGGUAACGGCCCACCAAGCCGACGAUCAUUAACUGGUGUGAGAGGACGACCAGUCACACGGGCACUGAGCCACGGGCCCGACGCCUACGGGAGGCAGCAGUAAGGAAUAUUGGUCAAUGGACGGAAGUCUGAACCAGCCAUGCCGCGUGGAGGAUGAAGGUCCUCUGGAUUGUAAACUUCUUUUAUAGGGGGCGAAAAAAGGGAAUUCUUUCUCGUCUGACGGUACCCUAUGAAUAAGCACCGGCUAACUCCGUGCCAGCCGCCGCAGUAAUAC
rnacentral:rRNA from 1 species